rnacentral:lncRNA from 10 species
UUCCUUGCUGCAAUGUAAUUAUAUUUAAUUACAAGUGUGCCCCUGGUAGUCUUUAACUGAAGGGCACUGACUGGGUCACUGGUGAAGUUCCCCGCAGGAACUGAGUCAGACCCCAUCUCAGGGCCCUGCACAAGAUAGGUGCCUGCUCUAAGGCGUGGACCCUCGCCACAGCCCUGGCCCGUCUUGACGGGCGAGGGUUACUGUACUUGUCCCAACCGUACAGAUGAGAAAGCUGAGACUCAGGGCCAGCAACCCGGGUCCCAGCGGAGCGCCCGGCACACGCCGACACUUCAGCACCAGUGGCGGUGGCCACCACUGUGGGCGGAGAUGGCUGCGACGCGUGCGCAGGUAAAGUCUAUGCGCGCCUUGCCUCCCACCGGCGCCUUCCCCGGCCUCUGGUUUUUGUCCCCGCCAGCGGCUCCGACUCCAUCGCGUCCUCUUCCAGUCUAGUGCUUUUUUCCAGAUCUCGAUCCCAAACUCCCUCCUGCCAGAAUCUGGACCCGAAUCCACCCAUUGCCCGUUUUCCGCUGCCGCUGGAGAGAAUCUCUGAGGUCCCCAGGAGAGCCUGCCUGCACGGAAGAGACGCCUCCUCGAUUAAAUGCUGUUUUCCAUGACCGUCUCUGUUCUUCCCAUACGGGAAUGGCAGGCAUUCAGAUCUCCAAGAAUAGAGGAUUAGGAGAGACUCCACCACCUAUGUCCUCACAGUUAAUUAUCGAUUUGUGUCAGUUGCCCAUUUUCUCACUUCCUGUUUGUGUGUCAAGGGGUAUUAAUAAAUCUUUGCCUAUUUAAAGAUAUUA